AUUGAACGCUGGCGGCAGGCCUAACACAUGCAAGUCGAGCGAGCGGCGGACGGGUGAGUAAUGUAUGGGGACUGCCCGAUAGAGGGGGAUAACUACUGGAAACGGUGGCUAAUACCGCAUACUAACGGAUAACCCAUAUGGGAUUAGCUUUUAGGUGGGGUAAAGGCUCACCUAGGCGACGGGCUCUAGCGGGUCUGAUAGGAUGAUCAGUCACACUGGGACUGAGACACGGCCCAGACUCGUACGGAGGCAGCAGUGGUGAAUAUUGCACAAUGGGCGCAAGCCUGAUGCAGCCAUGCCGCGUGUAUGAAGAAGGCCUUAGGGUUGUAAAGUACUUUCAGCGGGGAGGCGUUACCCGCAGAAGAAGCACCGGCUAACUCCGUGCCAGCAGCCGCGGUAAUUC
rnacentral:rRNA from 1 species